GAUUGUUCAUUCAACUUUGCCAAAUUCUGUCGACCCACUUUUUCUGAUCAUGUUUCCUCUGUACCCAUUUCAAUGAAUCAUGAAAAAACCUUACAAACAAAAACCAUUGUAGAUGAUUUUCAACAUCUUGAUGUUAAUGAUGAUGUUAAGAAUGAUGUUGAAAAUGAUGUUGGUGUUGGUGUUUUUGAUGAUGUUGAGGAUGAUUUGUGGUUGAAGAUUCAAGAAGAAGCAAGGUUAGAUUUAGAUAAAGAACUAAUUUUAUCUAGCUAUUAUUUCAGCUCAAUUUUAUGUCACAAAUCAUUAGAAAGUGCUUUAUGUAAUCAACUUUCAAUUCAUUU
rnacentral:lncRNA from 1 species